AUUGAACGCUGGCGGCAUGCUCUACACAUGCAAGUCGAACGGUAACAGGGUGCUUGCACCGCUGACGAGUGGCGAACGGGUGAGUAAUGCGUCGGAACGUGCCGAGUAGUGGGGGAUAACGCAGCGAAAGUUGUGCUAAUACCGCAUACGUACUGAGGUAGAAAGUGGGGGACCUUCGGGCCUUACGCUAUUCGAGCGGCCGACGUCUGAUUAGCUAGUAGGUGAGGUAAAGGCUCACCUAGGCGACGAUCAGUAGCGGGUCUGAGAGGAUGACCCGCCCCACUGGGACUGAGACGCGGCCCAGACUCCGACGGGAGGCAGCAGUGGGGAAUUUUGGACAAUGGGCGAAAGCCUGAUCCAGCCAUGCCGCGUGUCUGAAGAAGGCCUUCGGGUUGUAAAGGACUUUUGUCGGGGAGGAAAUCCCCAGCGUUAAUACCGCUGGGGGAUGACAGUACCUGAAGAAUAAGCACCGGCUAACUACGUGCCAGCCGCCGCCGUAACAC
rnacentral:rRNA from 1 species